rnacentral:rRNA from 1 species
CAGUUAGGAAUCUUCCACAAUGGGCGAAAGCCUGAUGGAGCGACACCGCGUGAAGGAUGAAGGCCCUAGGGUCGUAAACUUCUAAAAGAGGGACGAUAAUGACGGUACCUCUUGAGAAGCACCGGCUAACUCCGUGCCAGCAGCCGCGGUAAUACGGAGGGUGCAAGCGUUAUCCGGAAUCACUGGGCGUAAAGGGCGCGUAGGUGGUCUGUUAAGUCUGGCGUUAAAGCCUGGGGCUCAACCCCAGAUCAGCGUUGGAUACUGGCAGGCUAGACGGUUGGAGAGGCGAGUGGAAUUACCAGUGUAGCGGUGGAAUGCGUAGAUACUGGUAGGAACACCCAUUGCGAAGGCAGCUCGCUGGACAACACGUGACACUGAGGCGCGAAAGUGUGGGGAGCAAACCGGAUUAGAUACCCGGGUAGUCCACACCCUAAACGAUGCAUACUUGGUAUUGGCCCGUUGGGGUCAGUGCCGGAGCUAACGU